rnacentral:lncRNA from 1 species
CACACACACACACACACACAUAUAUACACACACACAUACGCGCGCACACACACUCAUAUAUAUAUUUUAUUCUUUCAUCUUGAAAACCAUAUCUGAUAUGUGACAAUUGAUUUGGUCCCCCAUUUUAGGUUUUAGUUGGUGAUUAAGUUGAUCAGACAUAUUGUGUAUCUUACACCGUACUCAGGAUGUCCUGCCGGAGAUCUCCAUGGCAGAGGUGGUCAUUUGUAGUCACUGUCCUUCUCUUAUUUGCUCUUUACUCUUUCAGAAUUUCCUUUGGGGGCUUUGAUCACUGUUCUAAAAUUAGAUUUUUAGACAAAAUAUUUUAAAUGUGGAAUUCCUAAUCUCUACUCACUGCUUUUUGGGAAAUAGUGUCUGAUUCUCAGUGGAGCUGGAACAAAUAAUAAUUGUAUUUAAAGGAACACUCCAUACAUUUAAAGCACUUUAGCUUGUUAAUGUGCUUUAUGUGUGAAAAGUGUAAUUUUUUUUCCCCCUCCUUUUACAAAAAAUUGUCUCUUUUAUAAACCUUCUUAUUAUACACCCUGGUUGUCAAUUAGACAGCCGGUCCCGUUACGUCCUGGUUGUUUAACUCAGUGGAGAUAAAUUUAAGAGGUAGCAAUUACCCAGAGCACCUGCCUUGCAAAGACUUCUCAUUGAGCUGCAUUGGGGAGUCUGUGAUUGGACAGCAACAGAAAGUCUGGGCGGGUUAGAAGGGGAGGGCUUGCAAAGGCUGCACACAGCAGGAGAUUUGCAGCUUUUACAAGUUGUUUUUAGAUAUACCCCAAUGGGGAAAAAAAUUUUUGUUUGUUUGGGGUAUAUCUGCUAAACAGGGAUUUUAAACUAUGUAUUUUUUUUUAAUUUAACACUGUAUAAUCAGCAAGUUUAUAUAGAGGUGCGUGCGGUUGGGCUUUAAGUUCCUGAACAGUUUCAGUUUUUAUGAAACUACUUGAAAACCAUAGUACAAACCCACAGUCUUUGUGCAGUGUAACUGCUCAAAUGAACUGUGAUAAUAUAAUGGCUAUUUUGCUUAGAGUGCACCUUUUUUAAGUAGUGUCUGCACAAGAUAUUGUCACAAGUUUGUGAAAGCAGUUUCCCAAUGGAACUAAUGACGGCAUAAUCUAAAAAUGUAUUUAAAACGGUAGAUUACUGCUUUUUAAAAGAAGAAAUUUGAUAUUUACUAAAGGUUUUCAUAGUAUAAGAAGUGUGUUUUAUUUUAAACAUAAGAUGCAUACCUAGCACAUAAAGGCAGGAUAACACAUGCAAUAAAAGUAUAGAUUGCUACUCAGAGAUAAAUAAUGUAAAAAAAAUGCAUAAUUUAGACAAAUCGUGUUUCCAUUAAUUGAUCCUUCCAUGUGUAGGGAAGUGUGACAAUACAGUAAUCAUUGUAUGGGAUCUGUUCUUCUAAGACCCCUGAUUGCCGAGCAGUGAGAGGCUCCGUAAAUGCGUACUUCUUUAAACAAUGCAGAGGUAGGGGGCAACCACCUCAUACGAUUUGUGCAGGGCCGUAUCAGUAUUCUGAUGUAGAGUUUGGAAUAGCACAAAUUUAGUAUAUUCUUUCCAGUGGGACAAUAUAUUGAACAGACACUACUCAAUCUCACUUACUAAACAAAUAAUUUGGGUGCACUACCAUGUCAGAAAGUCUACCAAACUAAACUAACCUAAAUUUUCUAUACUGUACUUACUAACUCUUCUAAACUCUAACUUAAAGGGACACCAGAACAACUACAGCUUAAUGUAUAAUAUACAGCUUAAUGUAUAAUAUACAGCUUAAUGUAUGGUAUACAGCUUAAUGUAGUUGUUCUGGUGAGUAUAAUAGCUCCCUUCAGAGAAAAGGCAGUGUUUACAUUGCCCCUAGGGACACCUCCAAGUGAACACUCCUUAGAUGGCCACUGGAGGUGCCUCCUGGCUCAGUGCUGCACAGUAAGCAGCUCUGCAUGGAGACGCUGAAUUUUCCUCAUAGAGAUGCAUUGAUUCAAUACGUCUCUAUGAGGAGGUGCUGAUUGGCCAAAACUACAUUUGGCCCCCCCACUUGCCGAUUUUAGCCAAUCCAAUGCUUUCCCCAUGGGAAAGCAUUGGAUUGGCUCAAAAAUCAGCCAUUUUGAUGUCACCAAGGGGGCGGGCCGUGGAGAGUUUUAACCCAUUCUGAGGGGGCUAAGGGGGGUGGGGGACCGGAGGGGGGCAAGCCACCUAUACAUUGGGUUAAACACUAUAGGGUCAGGAAUACAUGUUUGUGUUCCUGACCCUAUAGUGAUCCUUUAAUAUCUAUAAUCAUAUAUAACUUCAUUCGCUGUUUAUGAAAUCUAGGAGCUGCUUAAUCUCUGAAUUCCAGUUCCGUUUGCCAUUUGAUGUGUGUUAAGGAAAAUGUGGUAGAAUUUAUGAUCACAAAUGUCGUAAUGAAGAGUGAGUAACUUUGAGUGGGGUGCAGUAUGCCAAUGAAGAUUGGGUGUUUACGUUACCUGGUAUUACAGGUAUUAGUCGGUUACAACAUUUAAAGGAACACAAACAUGCAUUAAUUUCUCCCCCAAAUAUAGUAAAAUCUUACUUUUAUUUAAGUCUGCUGCUGCUGGCUCUGCCCCUAAUCUGCGUCCUUGGCUUACAUUACUAGAAGUUUUGAUCUCGGCCAAUCACAAUGCUUUUCCAUAGGAAAGCAUUGGAUUGGCUGAGAAUGUCAAGAAGGCAGAUCAGGGGCAGAGCCAACACAAGCCAAACACAGCCCUGGCCAAUCAGCAUUUUCUCAUAGCGAUACAUUGAAUUAAUGCAUCUCUAUGAGGAAAGUUCAGUGUCUCCAUGCAGAGGGUGGAGACACUGAAUGUCAGUCACUCUUUGCAGCACUGCCCCAGGAAGCACCUCUAACAGCCAUCUGAGGAGUGGCCAGUGAAGUUAUCACUAGGCUGCAAUGUAAACACUGCAUUUUCUCUGAAAAGACAGUGUUUACAGCAAAAAGCCUGAAGGGAAUGAUUCUACUCACCAGAACAAAUUCAAUAAACUGUAAUGUCCCUUUAAACAAUGGCAUGAGAUUUGUAGUUUAAGAAAAGCUGUUGAGCCUCUGCUUCUUUUUAGCACUGCUUUUUAUUUACUGGAUUUGUCUGCUAGUCUUAUUGUGCUCGAUUCUCCCAUCCAGGUUCUGGUUUAAUGUAUGUUUCACUAUAUCCGAGCUGGUGGGUGGACUGGUGUUUCUGGUGAAUAACCAAAUUGGUUAUUUUUAUUUUUACCUACAUUUUGCGAUUUGUUUCCAGUUUCUUACAAUUCACCUUUUAGUUUAUAAACCAUCAUUUCAUCAAUAUGUCUUGCUAAUACCAUCAGGCUUUAACAGCUAACCUGAGACUCGUGGGGAAUUGGCAAGGCAUUUACAGAUUUAGACCAGAAUAGCGGAGUUGUAGAAUUUCUCCAAUUCCUGCAAGUUUUCCUAGUUUUACCUAAAAUAUACAAUCUGCAUAUCAUGUCUCCACUAUUCCCAAUGUAGGGCUCAUUUCCAGCGUUGUCAGUUUUUAGCGACAAGCCGUUAAUAAAUAGGCUGUCUGUAACGUUGGUAAAUAGCGGCUCUUUCAAUAAUACAAAGACUUACCAGUUGUGACUUGUAAUUACCGUAGAGAAUAAUAGGAGGUGAUCCCAAUGUACAGCGCUACGGAAAUUAGAAAAAACUGCUACUUGUGACUCAUUUCGAGGCCAGGCGCUAGAUUCCACCAGCUGCGAUAUCGCACCGAAAUUAAAACCUGACUCCACUAGGGUCAAGACAACCACUACAGAUGCUUAAUACAUCAUAUAGGAAAAAUCUUCAUAUACAUGGCAUUACAUUUAAAGUCAAAGAGCAUCAGCCAUCAGAAAGCAAAAUGCCAGACACCAGAGACUACAGAGGGUGAGAUGUAAGUAAUGUGCAUGCCAUUCAAACGUAAAAUUCAUAUAAAAAGAGGGCCAUCACACAGACAUGUACCCAGCAUAGCACAAAAUCACACAUACAUGUACCCAGCCUAGUACAAUAUCCCACAUGCAUGUCCCCAGCGUAGUACAAUAUCCCACAUGCAUGUCCCCAGCGUAGUACAAAAUCCCACAGCCGUGUACCCAGCCUAGUACAAAAUCCCACAGACGUGUACCCGGCGUAGUACAAUAUCCCACAUACAUGUACCCAGCCUUGUACAAUAUCCCACAUACAUGUACCCAGCCUUGUACAAUAUCCCACAUACAUGUACCCAGCCUAGUACAAUAUCCCACAUACGUGUACCCAGCCUAGUACAAUAUCCCACAUACGUGUACCCAGCCUAGUACAAAAUCCCACAGACGUGUACCCAGCCUAGUACAAUAUCCCACAUACAUGUACCAAGCUUAGUACAAUAUCCCACAUACAUGUAUCAAGCUUAGUACAAUAUCCCACAUACAUGUACCCAGCAUAGUACAAAAUCCCACAGCCGUGUACCCAGCCUAGUACAAAAUCCCACAGACGUGUACCCAGCAUAGUACAAAAUCCCACAGACGGGUACCCAGCGUAGUACAAAAUCCCACAUACAUGUACCCAGCCUAGUACAAUAUCCCACAUACAUGUACCCAGCCUAGUACAAUAUCCCACAUACGUGUACCCAGCCUAGUACAAUAUCCCACAGACGUGUACCCAGCCUAGUACAAUAUCCCACAUACAUGUACCAAGCUUAGUACAAUAUCCCACAUACAUGUACCCAGCUUAGUACAAAAUCCCACAUACGUGUACCCAGCCUAGUACAAAAUCCCACAUACGUGUACCCAGCCUAGUACAAUAUCCCACAUACGUGUACCCAGCCUAGUACAAUAUCCCACAUACGUGUACCCAGCCUAGUACAAUAUCCCACAGACGUGUACCCAGCCUAGUACAAUAUCCCACAUACAUGUACCCAGCGUAGUACAAAAUCCCACAUACAUGUACCCAGCUUAGUACAAAAUCCCACAUACAUGUACCCAGCCUAGUACAAUAUCCCACAUACAUGUACCCAGCCUAGUACAAAAUCCCACAUACAUGUACCCAGCUUAGUACAAAAUCCCACAUACAUGUACCCAGCUUAGUACAAAAUCCCACAUACAUGUACCCAGCUUAGUACAAAAUCCCACAUACGUGUACCCAGCCUAGUACAAAAUCCCACUUUAGUAGACGUGAUCCAGUUGAGUUUGCUAUGGUGUUAAGGUGCAGACGGUAUCAUCGGGGACAGAUCAUCGGUUGGAAACCAGCUGCUAUUUUCUGGCUUUAGAUAUUUAUCAACUGUUCAUUAUAACAGCUUACCAUAGGUAGUUAAUGGCAAUAAUGAAAAUGAGCCCUGAGUGAAUACAAUUUCUAUUUUAAUUUCAACCUUUGUGCAUGUGAAGUGUGUUGUAACACUGCGCGAUUGAGGUCUCUGGUUUAGCUGGACAGAUGGCACAAUUUGGCAUUUUAUCACAAGUUCUGAAUGAGGUAAAAAUGGCUUCAUGGAUUAGCGGUUUUCCAGAUGUCUGUAAUUUUCUCUGUUUUAAAAUGCUAAAAUUCAAGAAUUACGUCUGAAAAGUCAAGCCGCGUGCGGUUUCCAUUGUGUUUUAUGACACGUAUGUUUUUUGUUUUUUUUACGAACCUAAAAGAGUUCUUCAAAAAUUGUAUGUAUUAUUAUACAUUAAGAAAAAUUCUAGCACUUUUGAAAUCGAUAUUCCUAAUUAUUGUGAGGACAGAGGUGCUUUUUGUGAACUGCGGAAUCAAAUAUAUACUAUAUAAACAAGCUCCAAGCGUCGCUUCAGAAACAAUGCUGAGAUUUAAUUUAAGGCACAUUAAAACCUUACAAAAAAAAUGUUUUAUUAAAAACACUGAGCGUGUGAUGCACAUCUAGGUCAACCUAUACCUGUCAUUUAAUUCACUUUUAGCAUUUAGGCAGACAUAAAGCAAAUUAUUGCGGCCAGAGAUUAGCAUUCCAUGCUACAAAUAUUCUCGAGGCAAACGACGUCGUACGUCCCAACAUUUCUAAUGGACGAUGAGGGACCCUUUCACUUUAGGGGUGUGGCCAGGGGCGACUGUUCUAAGAAAUUUUAGGUGACUUACUAAUAAAAAUGUAUACAACUAAGAAGAAGAACAAUGGGUCUUAUUUACACAGACUGAUUUCUAAACAAAUGUAUUGUAUUUUAAAGACACAUUACUGGGAGUAUUAUUGCUGUGGAGCUCUGUUAUACACUCAGACACAUUACUGGGAGUAUUAUUGCUGUGGAGCUCUGUUAUACACUCAGACACAUUACUGGGAAUAUUAUUGCUGUGGAGCUCUGUUAUACACUCAGACACACCAACAACAUGGAGCUCCUAAAAAAGAGGGACAGAGGGAUUUGAUUCUAAAUAUAAGAAACGUUCCAUCCUAAGGUCCAAUCAAGGUUCAGAUGGCUCUCCAUGCACUUGGUAGUAGAUGGAGGCAGGGUAUUUACACUGUAAAGCGUUAAAAAUACCAAAAGGAAGAAAUAAGGAUUUUGUUUCUCUAAAAAGCUCACUAGAUAUUUAUUUCAUUUCUAUAAGUGCUUGAGAUUUACUAAUUCCAUAUCAACCUGUGACCUUACAUACAUGCGCUGCAUUAAUUCCAACCCUGUGUGUUACUCUCGAACCUGUACCACGAGCCCUUUAUAAUGGUUUGUUGAGGGCUAUGUGCGUAUGUGUAUAUACAUGUAUACUGCUUACUGGACUCUUAACACAUCCUUCAAAUCUCUUGCGCUAUUUUACUUGCUUUUGUCAGAGGCUCGUGCACAACCCUUGAGCGUUGAAAGGUUUAAAGUAACUUCUAGCGGACUUGCACAGGAAAUCCACGAUUGCACAAAAUGGCUGCCGCUUACAAUGGGAGAAUUGGCUUUUGUCGAAUUCAGUAUUGUAUAUUUCAUUUCUAUUUUACAAAGUAUUGGUACUGGAAAUAAAAAAAAAAUAAAAAAAUGAAAACAAAAACAUUAAAUAUUGGGUGCGAUUAUAUAUUUAAAAGAUUUAUUUUAUAUCUGUGUCUCAUUUAAAGUCAUUGUUUAAAUAGCGUCGAAAAG